AUAACAUUUGGACCGUCGGUCUACCGAGCAAUAUCACCCGCCCGGUGGAAGAUUUUCCCUUCGUCGU
rnacentral:pre_miRNA from 1 species